UUCUUCACUAGUCACCACCAAACCCAAACUUCUCCUUCUUCACCGGUCACCACCAAACCCAGACUUCUCGCCCACUACUACUACCACCACCACCCAUCUCUCUAAACAAAGAACCAACAAAGCCUGUUAUUCACUACUAGGACAGUGAAAUCGCUGUACUACGGAUAACCGAAGAGAACCUCCGUGAUGUUGAUGGCUCCGGCGGUGGAGACGACGAUGAGAGAGAAAGUGAA
rnacentral:lncRNA from 1 species